AGAAGCAGUCUUGGGAUCAAUCCAUAUGGAAGGGAAGGGAUGGAAAGGGAGCAGGACUGAAAAGAAGCUAUAAUGUAGUCCCUCAGUCAACCCCAAGGCAUGUUCUGAAGCCAGAGGACUUUUCAGAGUUUAACUAAGUAGCGCAAAGUGACCAAGCCUUAAUACACACAUGUCAACAAGUCUUGGAUGCAGACUACCCUGGGGAAAGGGCCGUGUUCUUGGACAAGGCAACUCGAUCCAAGGCAAAUUCCUAAAAGAAGCUGAUAGCUAAGGGCUGCCUUGCCCACAGCAUUCCCAGCAACUGGAGGAAAAAGGUCAUCAGACCUGAAAGGAGAUCUGAGUGAUACAUCACAGCAUCCUUAGACAUCAGCAUGGGUAUGGAGGAAGCUGAAAGAAUGGUCACACAAUGCAAUAUUGCUGACUUUGAAGCUGGAGGAAGGGGAGUGUGAGCUGAGGAAUGUGGACAGUCUCUAGACGCUGGAAAAAGCAGGGAAAAGGAUUAUCCACUAGAGCUUCCAGAAAGGAAUGCAGCCCUCUUGAUUUUAGCCCAGUGGGCCUUCUGACCUCCUGAACUGUAAGACAAUAAAUGUGUUGUUUUAAGCCA